UACGUAGGGCGCAAGCGUUGUCCGGAAUUAUUGGGCGUAAAGAGCUCGUAGGCGGUUUGUCGCGUCUGCUGUGAAAACCUAAGGCUCAACCUUGGGCUUGCAGUGGGUACGGGCAGACUAGAGUGCGGUAGGGGAGACUGGAAUUCCUGGUGUAGCGGUGAAAUGCGCAGAUAUCAGGAGGAACACCGAUAGCGAAGGCAGGCUUCUGGGUACCACCUGACACUGGCUAGGA
rnacentral:rRNA from 1 species